CUGGCAUUCAACUCACCUUUAAUUAUCUCACCUGUUACCGUCUUACCUGUUACCAUCUCACCUAUUAUCUUUCCUUACCUCACUCUCAACCUCAUCCUCUCCUGACCACCCAUAAGUAAGGACAGGUGAACAACAGCGUAACGUAACCAAACUACAGUACUACAAAUCUGACUACCUGAAAACUGACUCGCUGAUUCGAACUCUCCCUCGUGAAGUCUUUCCUUUCUUGCUUCGAUAGUCAGUCGCUGCCAGCCAGGAGGAGAAGGAAGGUGUGUCUGUAGUGAUUCCGCUGCUUUGCUCUUUCUUUGGGUUCUGUAUCCGCCGACAUCGUGAUGGAGGACAAGGAAGAUAUGUUCAUCAUCCACACAGGGCGUAAAGUCAUGUAGCACCACCAUCUUGCUGUCUGGCGAUAGUCCUGCUUCCUUCUCCAGCCCAACCCGCACCAGUGUUUCUAUGGAGGCCGAGCCAGUGAUGCGACCCAGGCCCGGUGCCCUCACCACCUUCUCCUCCCCCUCCGACACAUAGCCACCAGACCCUGCCGGCGACGCUGACAUGAGCUAACAGGAAGGCUGAGAGGCCCUGAGGAACACACCAAGAUGAAAUGAGGGGAAGACUUGUGGAUAAAAACAAAUGAACAUAAAAAAGAGAAACUGCAAGUAGCCAGUAGGAAAGUAAGGGAAGCUGCAAGAAGCCAUCAGUCCCUGAAAUUUCCCUAAACUUUGAAAUGCUCUACCUGACUGCAAGACCCAAGCCCCCUAGAGCAGCCUGCCUCUGCACUUCCUGGCGCCACAGUAACAGUACUUGAUCUUGCCGGCCACGCUGCCCACGUCGUAGCUGUAGUCCCAAGUGAGCUCUGUGCCUGCCUUGAUGUUGCUGAUGGCAAAGAAGGCA